rnacentral:rRNA from 1 species
GAUGAACGCUGGCGGCGUGCCUAAUACAUGCAAGUCGAGCGAACAGACGAGGAGCUUGCUCCUUCGACGUUAGCGGCGGACGGGUGAGUAACACGUAGGUAACCUACCUAUAAGACUGGGAUAACUUCGGGAAACCGGAGCUAAUACCGGAUAAUAUUUCGAACCGCAUGGUUCGAUAGUGAAAGAUGGCUUUGCUAUCACUUAUAGAUGGACCUGCGCCGUAUUAGCUAGUUGGUAAGGUGACGGCUUACCAAGGCAACGAUACGUAGCCGACCUGAGAGGGUGAUCGGCCACACUGGAACUGAGACACGGUCCAGACUCCUACGGGAGGCAGCAGUAGGGAAUCUUCCGCAAUGGGCGAAAGCCUGACGGAGCAACGCCGCGUGAGUGAUGAAGGUCUUCGGAUCGUAAAACUCUGUUAUUAGGGAAGAACAAACGUGUAAGUAACUGUGCACGUCGUGACGGUACCUAAUCAGAAAGCCACGGCUAACUACGUG